rnacentral:lncRNA from 1 species
UCGCAGCUGAUGACAGCGAUAUGACAGCUGCUGAGGAUGAAGUCUGAAAGUGAAAGAAUAUGUGCUUUCCGUUGUUAUUGCUCGUUUAUCUACAUGUUGAAUAGAACAAACGAUAAUCAGAGUUUAUCAUCACUUGAACGGAAUAGGUAAUUUCGUACGAUAGAAGAAUUAUGACCGUUACCCAUCACACUGACUGCGACACUUCUCUACUCUACUGAACAGCUGAUCAUGAAGGUCUCGACGUUGAACGUUUCAUUCGAAGCAUUACAGCAAUUACGUCUUAACUGUUGACAGAGAUUUUGUUCAGAAAUAAAUAAUAAAUGGCAGUGUUAACAGCUUGAAGUGAUCGUCUGAAAACUGCAACUUAAAACAAAUGUUUUGAGUCAUCGUCAAUGACCCCAAGGACCCAUACCGAACCGACACGAGUAGACGAGUUUCCACAAUGAGGAAUGUUCUAGGUCAUGGAUAUUAAGCAGAAAGCCUUAUGUAAGAAGACACCAGGAUAGAAACAAAACUCUGGACAAUUUAAUGUGAA